rnacentral:lncRNA from 1 species
GUAGAAUUCUAAAUAGAAUUUGUAUAUACCUAUUUCCAUAUUUGAUGAACUAAAGUUGUAGAUAUCAUGGUCAAUCUGUCCUCUGUUGCCUUAGUUCUGUUUAUUGCUCUGUGUCUGAUUAAUAAGUAAGCCAGGAUACAAAAGGAGAGGGCGUGGAGGUCUUCUUAAAGAGGAAGACAUUGUAGUCUCCCUCAUUCAACAAAGACUAUUAUCCCAGGAGGUCAACCUUUUCUCUUAACCUUCCAUUUGGUGUUAUAGACAUGUAAGAGACAGUUUAUUCAAUUCUAAUUUGCUUGUUUUAUCUGGCGAAGGACAUUGCUUUUUGGACUGGGGGAUGACACAGACUGGUGAUGGAUUCUGCCAGGAGGCCCUGUUUCAUAACCGUGUGUUUGUGGGUACUGGCAACCACCUGUCUUCCAUAUUCCGGCUCCCAGAGCCCCAGCCUGUGGGGUAAGAAGGCAGUGUUCUUGGGCCGUCCAUGUAUGUGGCAGCUGGGUAAGGAGUGUGUAAUGCCCCUCCUGGAAGAGCUCAGUGUGUGUGUGCACCUGUGCCGGAAGAUUGCAACGCCUGAGUGGACCGGCUUUGUGUACAAGGCGCCUGGCAACAGGCAGGUAGAGCUGGGGCUUGCAGGCCGGGGAGGGCUCCUGGUGGCAUGGCUGUUUGGGCAGGAGUGGUCGGUACCAGAAGACCUGCCCCUGGAACACUGGCAAAACAUCUGCCUCACCUGGUCCAGCAACUCCAAGAGGCUCAGACUCUACAUCAAUGGGAGCAGUCGCCUGGACGCCCACGUUAACGCCAGCCUGUCCCGGCAACUGGCCCACAAUGGCACCCUGACCCUGGGGGUGUCCCAUAACAUAGUAGAUGGGGUGAUGGAGUUUGAGGAUGGGAAGAACUUCCUGGGGGACAUAAGCCUGUUCAGGAUGUGGGGGCGGGAGCAGACGGCUGAGGAGGUGAGGGCCCAUAGCUGUGCCGAUGGGAACGUGGUGAGCUGGGACACCCGUGACUGGGACUACCAGAGCUGCCUACCUGAAGAUGACACUAGCCUCCAGUGUGCAUGGUCAAUGUUCAAAAUUAAAAUGAAGGCCGUCAUAGCACAACGGCACCCUCUUGACAAGCCUGUCAAUUCCCCAGAGGACAUCAUACGCAAAUGGCUGGGGACCAUAUUUCCUGGGAACAUUUCUGUGCGUGACAUCUUUGUGUCAUCUCCAAGCCAGAUCUGUCAAGUGGGCUAUAAUCCUAGUGUGCGAAACACAGAGAAAGCUCAGGACAGGCAGGAAACUGGCAGACAGGCUUUCAUCGUAAACCCUUUUGUCAGGUCGCAGACGAGGGGAAAGGUAAACUCAUGA